GACGAACGCUGGCGGCGCGCUUAACACAUGCAAGUCGAACGGAAAGGCCUGCUUUCCCUUGUGGAUUGCGGGUACUCGAGUGGCGAACGGGUGAGUAACACGUGAGUGAUCUGCCCCCAACUUGGGUAUAAGCCUGGGAAACUGGGUCUAAUUCCCGAUAGGACUGCAGGGUGGUGCCUGUGGUGGAAAACGAUUUUCUAGUGGUUGGGGAUGAGCUCGCGGCCUAUGAGCUUGGUGGUGGGGUAAUGGCCGACCAAGGCGGGGACGGGUAGCCGGCCUGUGAGGGGGGACGGCGGCAUUGGGACUGGGAUACGGCCCAGACGGCAAGGGGAGGCAGGGGUGGGGAAGAUUGGGCAGUGGGCGGGAGCCUGAUGCAGCGAGGGUGCGUGGGGGGUGACGGGCUUGGGGUUGUAAACUCCUUGGGAGCGAGAGGAGGCAGCCUGGAUGGAAGGGUGGUGACGGUAGUGGUAGAAGAAGCACCGGCUAACUACGUG
rnacentral:rRNA from 1 species